GACGAACGCUGGCGGCGUGCCUAACACAUGCAAGUGGAGCGACGAACCAGGGCUUGCCCUGGGGCUAAGCCGCGAACGGGUGAGUAACACGUGGGUUACCUGCCUCGAUGACCGGGACAACCCGAGGAAACUCGGGCUAAUACCGGAUGUGCCCGCAAGGGGAAAGGAAGCUUCGGCCUCCGCAUCGAGAUGGGCCCCCGGCCCAUUAGCUUGUUGGUGAGGUAACGGCUCACCAAGGCUGCGAUGGGUAGCUGGUCUGAGAGGACGAUCAGCCACACUGGGACUGAGACACGGCCCAGACUCCUACGGGAGGCAGCAGUGGGGAAUCUUGCGCAAUGCGCGAAAGCGUGACGCAGCAACGCCGCGUGGGGGAAGAAGGCUUUCGGGUUGUAAACCCCUUUCAGUUGGGACGAAGCUUCGCCGAUGAAUAGUCGGUCGGAGUGACGGUACCUUCACAAGAAGCACCGGCUAACUACGUGCCAGCAGCAGCCGUAA
rnacentral:rRNA from 1 species